UUCUUCAGGGCGGGGCGUAAUUCCCCACCGGCGGUAUAGUCCGCGAGCGCGCAGGCGUUGAUUUGGUGCAAUUCCAAAACCGACAGUAUAGUCUGGAUGGGAGAAGAA
rnacentral:ncRNA from 1 species